ACUCAUCAUCCACAGUAUCUUUGUAUAGUUUUAUCUUCUGACUAUAGUCAAUUUGAGGUCAAGUCGGCUUUUACUGGAACCGACUCGAGUUCCAUUAGAGUCAACUCAUGAAUUUCUGAAGGUGGCUCGAGUUGUGCUCAAUGUUUCUACUGCUCUUUGUCGUACUCUAAGAUAAUUCUAGAGUCAACUCAUAUUUUAGUGGUAUUGACUUAUC
rnacentral:lncRNA from 1 species